rnacentral:rRNA from 1 species
AUUGAACGCUGGCGGCAGGCCUAACACAUGCAAGUCGAGCGGAGCGGCGGACGGGUGAGUAAUGCCUAGGAAUCUGCCUGGUAGUGGGGGAUAACGUCCGGAAACGGGCGCUAAUAACGCAUCCUAUCCGCUGAGCCUAGGUCGGAUUAGCUAGUGGGUGGGGUAAAGGCCUACCAAGGCGACGAUCCGUAACUGGUCUGAGAGGAGGAUCAGUCACACUGGAACUGAGACACGGUCCAGACUCCUACGGGAGGCAGCAGUGGGGAAUAUUGCACAAUGGGCGCAAGCCUGAUGCAGCCAUGCCGCGUGUAUGAAGAAGGCCUUCGGGUUGUAAAGUACUUUCAGCGGGGAGGCGUUACCCGCAGAAGAAGCACCGGCUAACUCCGUGCCAGCAGCCGCGGUAAUUC